GACGAACGCUGGCGGCGUGCUUAACACAUGCGAGUCGAACGGAAAGGCCCUGCUUUUGUGGGGUGCUCGAGUGGCGAACGGGUGAGUAACACGUGAGUAACCUGCCCUUGACUUUGGGAUAACUUCAGGAAACUGGGGCUAAUACCGGAUAGGAGCUCCUGCUGCAUGGUGGGGGUUGGAAAGUUUCGGCGGUUGGGGAUGGACUCGCGGCUUAUCAGCUUGUUGGUGGGGUAGUGGCUUACCAAGGCUUUGACGGGUAGCCGGCCUGAGAGGGUGACCGGCCACAUUGGGACUGAGAUACGGCCCAGACUCCUACGGGAGGCAGCAGUGGGGAAUAUUGCACAAUGGGCGGAAGCCUGGUGCAGCAACGCCGCGUGCGGGAUGACGGCCUUCGGGUUGUAAACCGCUUUCGCCUGUGACGAAGCGUGAGUGACGGUAAUGGGUAAAGAAGCACCGGCUAACUACGUG
rnacentral:rRNA from 1 species